rnacentral:rRNA from 1 species
GACGUAGGGCGCAAGCGUUGUCCGGAUUUAUUGGGCGUAAAGAGCGUGUAGGCGGCCAGAUAGGUCCGUUGUGAAAACUCGAGGCUCAACCUCGAGACGCCGAUGGAAACCAUUUGGCUAGAGUCCGGAAGAGGAGAGUGGAAUUCCUGGUGUAGCGGUGAAAUGCGCAGAUAUCAGGAAGAACACCCGUGGCUAAGGCGGCUCUCUAGUACGGUACUGACGCUGAGACGCGAAAGCGUGGGGAGCGAACAGG